rnacentral:rRNA from 1 species
UACGGAGGAUCCAAGCGUUAUCCGGAAUCAUUGGGUUUAAAGGGUCCGUAGGCGGUUUGGUAAGUCAGUGGUGAAAGCCCAUCGCUCAACGGUGGAACGGCCAUUGAUACUGCCAGACUUGAAUUAUUAGGAAGUAACUAGAAUAUGUAGUGUAGCGGUGAAAUGCUUAGAGAUUACAUGGAAUACCAAUUGCGAAGGCAGGUUACUACUAAUGAUUGACGCUGAUGGACGAAAAGCGUGGGUAGCGAACAGG